AUGAUUUGCGGAAAAUCAUCAACAGUUCUAUAAAAACGUGUUAACCAGUCGCACCAAAGUAGGCGCUUGUUGUUGAAAAGUUAAGAGUUUAUUACGUUCUACGGUUGUCCUUUGCCAAUUGUGGAUUUGGCCAAGUUGCAGACAAGGAUUCAGAAUGUAGUCCCUUGAAGAUUUUUUACCCAACCCUUCUAUGGGUAUGAGGGUGAUGAUGACAAGCAUUUCGUUUUUUCUUGAUGAAUUUUUUUGUUUGACUACUCCAAAACCCUACUAUCAGUAUGGAACCCAUCCAAAAGAUUAUUUGCAAGUUUAAUGCUAAACCGCAUUCAAAAACAAAAAACUAAGUACAAUGUAACAAUUUCAGUGCAAAUAUUUAUUAUUUUUUACUCUACCACCACAUAUUAGAAUGAAUUUUAUGUAAAUCUUGGCUACCCUACUAGAUGAAAAUGUGAAUCACAAUAAUGUCAUUUGAUUUUCAAAAAUUAUUAUAAUCACAACAACAAUAAUAAUAAUAAUAAUGAUAUUGUCAAUAUUGUUUUUGAGAAAUUAUUACAAAAAGAAAAUUUGUUACAUGUGUCGUAGAAUAUAUUAUAAAUUCAGUAUAAUAUAAAUGUUGCAAAAAUAUAAAUAUAUAUAUAUUUAACCCCACACAUAUAUGAAUAAUCCACAAAAAGAAAUGUUAUAUGUUGUAUAUGCAUUCGAUUUGAAACAUCGAAACUUAUCUUAAUCUAUCCUAACAUAUUGUCUAAUGAAAUUGAAAUUUAUUGUUCUCAAUUCAAACAACCUAACGAUAUGCAGACAUUCCAGUUUCAGUCACUUCGGUGAGAUAUUUGAAAUUUAUAGAGGAUUAAGUGCUGCAAGAAUUUAAUAUAACCAAACUGUAUUUAUGUGUCAUGUUGCUGUUGUUUGGGAUUCGAAUUAUCUCAACGGAAUCAAGAAUAAAA
rnacentral:sRNA from 1 species